AUGGCGGCACAGGAGAGCGGCAAGAGUGCAGGAGUGCGCCGCUUCCUUGGAAUCCGGCAGAGGCCGUCGGGCCGGUGGGUGGCCGAGAAAAAGGACUCGGUGCAGCGCGUACGCCUGUCGCUGCGCACCUUCGACACCGUCGAGGACGCAGCAUGCGCCUGCCACAAGGCGGCACGCCGCACCAACUUCGCUGCACGGCACGGCGCCGCAGCCAGGCUGAGCGGGAGGAGGCGCCGCCGCCGUCGGUAA
rnacentral:rRNA from 1 species